ensembl:lncRNA girdin-like
UAAUCGGUGAGAAUAGAACCAUUACAAGUUAAACUGCAUUGAGUUUAUAUCCUUUAACAGGAAGGGAGCGAUUCUUGUGGAAGGACCCAACAGCAAAUUGAGUGUUUAUCAUAUUUUCUGCUUGACUGCACAAAGGACUGGUAGAAGUAUUCUUAAAGAGGAAAGUUUGGAGACUGGAUCAGAAUCAUGGAUGACAUGGUCGAAGAGAGAGGUGGAAUGCAGGGGGUCUGCAGUAAGAAGGAAAAAGGGAAGAACGGGUCUAGCAGCUCAAUGAGCGAAAUUUGGUGUGAGUUCAACAGCAUCUUAGAUGGUACUGUGUCUCGGAUGAGACCAUGGGAGAAGAAGAUGAGCACUGAGCUGGAGAAGAAAGAUGAGGAGAUCCUCGCUUUAAAGAAAACUCUCCAACAGGCCGACAGUGUAGUGGAGAACAUGAAGAAUGAAGUGUGUAGGCUCAACCGUGACCAUCAGGAUACUGUGUCCCAGAUGGAAGCAGAAUGGGAGAAGAAGAUGAGCACUGAGCUGGAGAAGAAAGAUGAGGAGAACCUCUCUUUAAAGAAAACUCUCCAACAGGCCGACAGUGACCUGGAGCACAUUGAGCAUAGAGUGCAUAAGCUCAACCAGGACCAUCAAGAUACUGUGUCCCAGAUAGAAGCAAAAUGGGAGAAGACGAUGAACACUGAGCUGGAGAAGAAAGAUGAGGAGAUCCUCUCUUUAAAGAAAACUCUCCAACAUGCCGACAGUGUAGUGGAGAACAUGAAGAAUGAAGUGUGUAGGCUCAACCGUGACCAUCAGGAUACUGUGUCCCAGAUGGAAGCAGAAUGGGAGAAGAAGAUAAACACUGAACUGGAGAAGAAAGAUGAGGAGAUCCUCUCUUUAAAGAAAACUCUCCAACAUGCCGACAGUGUAGUGGAGAACAUGAAGAAUGAAGUGUGUAGGCUCAACCGUGACCAUCAGGAUACUGUGUCCCAGAUGGAAGCAGAAUGGGAGAAGAAGAUAAACACUGAACUGGAGAAGAAAGAUGAGGAGAUCCUCUCUUUAAAGAAAACUCUCCAGCAGGCCAACAGUAGAGUGGAGAACAUGGAGCGUGAAGUGUGUAGGCUCAACAGCUACCAUCAGGAUACUGUGUCCCUGAUGGAAGCAGAAUGGGUGAAGGAGACAAUUAUUGAGAUGGAGAAGAAAGAUGAGGAGAUCCUCUCUUUAACGAAAACUCUCCAACAUGCCGACAGUGGAGUAGAGAACAUGAAGAAUGAAGUGUGUAGGCUCAACCGCGACCAUCAGGAUACUGUGUCCCAGAUGGAAGCAGAAUGGGAGAAGAAGAUGAACACUGAGCUGGAGAAGAAAGAUGAGGAGAUCCUCUCUUUAACGAAAACUCUCCAACAUGCCGACAGUGGAGUAGAGAACAUGAAGAAUGAAGUGUGUAGGCUCAACCGCGACCAUCAGGAUACUGUGUCCCAGAUGGAAGCAGAAUGGGAGAAGAAGAUGAACACUGAGCUGGAGAAGAAAGAUGAGGAGAUCCUCUCUUUAAAGAAAACUCUCCAGCAGGCCAACAGUAGAGUGGAGAACAUGGAGCGUGAAGUGUGUAGGCUCAACCGCGACCAUCAGGAUACUGUGUCCCUGAUGGAAGCAGAAUGGGUGAAGGAGACAAUUAUUGAGAUGGAGAAGAAAGAUCAGGAGAUCCUCUCUUUAAAGAAAACUCUCCAACAGGGAAAGAGGAGACUGGAGCACAUUAGGAAUGCAUUAAACUGCGUCUUUGAUGAUAAUGUGUCUCUGAAUGGAGCAGAAAGAGAGAAGACAACGGACACUGAGCUGGAAAAGAAAGAUGAGGAGAUCCUCUCUUUAAUGGAUGUUCAACACCACAAUGGGAUCGUUCCACUGUCUCCUCCUCUGGAGGAGGACACAGUGGAUACAAUGAUCGACCUUCAGAAGGAAUAUGAGGAAAAGCUCACUGACGAACGCCAGGAAACAAAAAAACAAGUUACAGCCCUGACGAAUGAGAACUGUGAGCUCCUGACACAGAUUUCCACCUUGGGGAACAAAGACGCUGAGUGGGACACUCAGUAUGGAGUUCUUCAGACCCAACAUCUCACUCUGAUCGAGGAAAAGGAGAAAAAAACACAAGAAAUGGAGCUUCUAGUGAAGGAAAACGCUGAACUAAAAGUGCUCACCGCCACAAGUGGAAAGCCAAGAAAGAGAAGGAACAGGACAAAGAAGAAGAAGACGAAGGACGGGGAGAUGGAGUGAAAACUGGUUUUACUUGAAAAAACCUCUUCAGCUGUUUAGCUCGGCGCAAAAUGUGAGAAGAUCCACUGCAGACUGAGUUGUUUUUUCCAGAUUCUCCCACCACAAUAAAACUUCCUUAAAGCAAAGCAAGGCAGAU